CCUACGGGAGGCAGCAGUGGGGAAUAUUGCACAAUGGGGGAAACCCUGAUGCAGCGAUGCCGCGUGGAGGAAGAAGGUUUUCGGAUUGUAAACUCCUUUUAUCAGGGACGAUAAUGACGGUACCUGAAGAAAAAGCUCCGGCUAACUACGUGCCAGCAGCCGCGGUAAUACGUAGGGAGCGAGCGUUGUCCGGAAUUACUGGGUGUAAAGGGAGCGUAGGCGGGACGGCAAGUCAGAUGUGAAAACCACAGGCUCAACCUGUGGACUGCGUUUGAAACUGUGGGGCUUGAGUGAAGUAGAGGUAGGCGGAAUUCCCGGUGUAGCGGUGAAAUGCGUAGAGAUCGGGAGGAACACCAGUGGCGAAGGCGGCCUACUGGGCUUUAACUGACGCUGAGGCACGAAAGCAUGGGUAGCAAACAGGAUUAGAUACCCCUGUAGUC
rnacentral:rRNA from 1 species